GAUGUGACUGCAGAUUGUGUCUCUGUCCACGGUCAGGACCUCGAUCUCCUCUGGUGUUGCAGGCGCCUCCUCCAACACGACCACCAAAUUGUCUUUGUCUUUCAGCCAAGCUCUUGGGUUGUGGUACCUGACAAUGAAAGGCUGUCCUAGAGGAGAGAGGUAGCUCAUCCAAUAGCGACCAAUGCUUUUACCGUUUAUCCAAAUCAUGCCCUUCUCCAUGCCAUUCAUUCGAAUGGCAACAGGAUCUCUUCCUUCUGGGGCAUCAAAAUGUCUCUGCAAAAUGAUUACAGAAUGCAUAGUUGGCUGAUUCCAAAACAUUCGUAGCUGAUUGUUUGAAUAUUUUUGAAAACGAAACAAAUCAUUAUAUAUAUAUAUAUAUAUGAUUAGUGCAAAGAUUAGAACUGGUAAGUCUAAUGGCUUGACUUGAUGAUUCCGCAUAUUUUUCGAAGCUUAUAGUACCUUGUACCAAGAGAGGGCUGGUUGACGUCCAUUGACGGGUUUCCAUUGUUCCUGUUUUGAUCCGUCCUCGGUGAAGAGCCCAAGUUUCUCACCUGUGAGACCAACCUGCAAUGUGACCCCGCGUAAGCUGUUACAUGCGUUGAAUACUUGAAUGUGUUUGUGCGUGUGUUGUGGUACAGUUUUUACUUUGUCAACCUACUACGUUUCUCCAUAUUUCACCUGAUGACCCCAUCCGUUGAUGGUCAGAUCAACGGUUCCGGUGUUUAGACCAAGGAUGGUUAUAGACUUGGGUCCAGCAUACCUGUGCUCCAUGUAUGCACCACUGUCCUGAAUAAGGAAAAGGGAUAUAAAAGUUGUAUAAUGUCCUCAUUAAAAAGUGUUUCUAAUUGGGAGGAAAGAUGAAGUCGUGCUUCUUACUGGGAGUCCAACAGUACUAGCCAAGAUAGCUAUGUGGUUGACCCCAACUUGAAAUUUUGCACUUUGCUCAAAUACGAAAGAUUUUUCCUCAUGGCUGCCAUGAGCGGUUCCUUAAAACCAUUAAAAUGCCUUUAUAUUAAAAUCCAUUCUUUCACUUAAAACAGCAGUUGCCACUUUACCCUGUCAUUUUUGUAUGCUUACCUAGGUAUUCUCCAUUGACAUAUGCAACCAAUGAAUGGCCAAGACUAAUGAUACGAAGAACAGGGGAUACUCCAUUCUUCUUUGGGAUGUCUGCUGGACUUAACACGAUGCUACAAUAAUAUUUUCACAAGUUUCAGGUACCACUUUCAUAUGCAUGUACCCCAGAUGAUUGGAAAUUUGUAAGGUGGGAGAAAGAAACUCACCUAGUGGUGUACCAUGCAUAGUCAGUGGCGUCCUUAAGUAAACUGUAGAGUUCUAGAGGAAAACUCUGAUUGGCUGGUACGUCCUGGGUAGUUGGAAUGGCUUCUGUAAACACCUCCCACUUAUUGCUGUUUGGAAUCUGUGAUCUCUCGAAGUUCCUUGAAUUAUGUUGUGAGACAACCUGUUAAAGAGAAUAAGUUAGAGCUUCAGCCUCAGCUCCAGAAUGUGAAUUUUUUCUCCAGCAAGUAUAUCUUGUUAUGUGAGGGACAUAUACAUUACCAUUUGAGUGUUAUAGACCACAGUCUUGCAAUCAGGGAGGAUGCUAAUGGAGUGCGGCGGCAACAAGUAGCUCUGGCCUCUGAAGUUUACGGUUGCUCCUUUCUGCGUGUGGUUGUUAGUUAAGAAAGCAGCACAAAGGCCACUUUCUGGCUUCUCAAAGACCCUAGUCUGCAAAACAUGGACAAACAUUUCCUUUAAAAUUUGCCAAAUGUCAACAAUUACAAUAACAACCAUCUGAUAUAUGAGAUGCUUAAUUACCUCAAUGGAUUGGCUCAGCAUGGUGACACUAGGCGUAGCCCCAAGCAGAGCCUUCUUGCAAAGGUUCAGGGCCCUGUGAAGGUCCCUGAGGUGACCCCAUUUUGGUUCUCUUUGCAGACCGUAUUCAUCAAGCGGAGCUUCAUCGUAAUAGCGGGUUGUAGCGAAAGCAGAGCUGGUUCUACCGAAGUUUGUUCCACCAUAGUACUACGAGAGUUUGCAAUCAAGUUAGAAGCUAUGGUUUUCCCGUUGGUUUAGAUCUAAGGGAGGAUUGCUUAUUGUGGAUAGGAUCAUUACCAUAUAGUAGUUGACCAAUGAUCCGUUCUUAGCGAAAAAGCGAGCAACUGAAAAGGCAAGAUCUUCUGCAUUUCUCUGUGAUGGUGGGUCUCCGAAAACUCUAUAUCUGUAAUAGCAAUUUACCAACAAACACGUGCUUAGCGCUUAGUUUGAACUAUCAUUGCUAAUUACUACUCUGGACCACAAUAUGUGUUAUUGAUAACUCAUUUACAUUUUAUGAAAAAUGUUACUCCUUCGUUAAAAAAUAUAAGAUAUUUUUUAAGAA